GAUGUCUGGACCCAAAUAUUCCUUCCAGCUGAAGAACUGAAACCUUCCCUUUGCAAGGAGGGAGGGAAAGGCCACAAAAUGCUCCCACCUGCCUGCUGUGGGGAGCCUGUUGCUAACAAGAGGAUGCUGGUGGCUUUCUGAUGCUCUGCUGGGCAAGGCACCAAGGAGGGAUGCUGACGGCAGCAGGAGCCCUUCCAGCUCUCCCUGCGUCCCCUUUCGACCUCACCUCCUCCGCAGAUGCCCUAAACCUUGGGAAAAGCCAAAGCUGAGGAGGAGGAGGAGGCAGAGCUCAGCAGGACGCAGCCAAAUGCGAUCAGACAGCUCCCCUCCAGCCUUCACCCAUCUCCCCGGCACAGCAUCAAGAGGGAAGGGAGGUGGCUGCCUCCUACCUCCCCCUGUUUCCCUGCCCCUAGCAAGGCGAAUACAUCCCUGCUCCACUUACAGAGGGAUUUCCAGAGCAGAGAGGCUUCUCCUGGGGCAAUCCUGGCCGGCACCGAGGCGAGCAGCUUUUGGCCGCCUCCUCCCGGCCCCCAGCUGGUUGAGAGCAAACAGCAGCCGAGGUCUGUUCAAACAGAGCUGCCGUCGGGUGCGGCGCCUGCCUGUUUGCACUGCUGCGAAAGCAAUCUCACCCAAGCCUCUCCCGGCUGUCAGCUCCUCUCACAUCUCAUCCUUGCCUCCUCAAUUCUCUCCACGUCCCGCACUGCC